AACGAACGCUGGCGGCGCGCCUAAUACAUGCAAGUCGAGCGAGAAGACGUAGCAAUACGUUUGUAAAGCGGCGAACGGGUGAGGAAUACAUGGGUAACCUACCCUCGAGUGGGGAAUAACUAGCCGAAAGGUUAGCUAAUACCGCGUACGCUCCUUGGACUUCGGUUCAGGGAGGAAAGCGAUAUCGUGGGUAUCGCGCUCUUGGAUGGGCUCAUGUCCUAUCAGCUUGUUGGNGAGGUAACGGCUCACCAAGGCUUCGACGGGUAGCUGGUCUGAGAGGACGAUCAGCCACACUGGCACUGCGACACGGGCCAGACUCCUACGGGAGGCAGCAGUAAGGAAUAUUGCGCAAUGGGCGAAAGCCUGACGCAGCGACGCCGCGUGGGGGGAGUGAAGGGUAC
rnacentral:rRNA from 1 species